UGCAAGUCGAACGGCAGCACAGAAGAGCUUGCUCUUUGGGUGGCGAGUGGCGGACGGGUGAGUAAUGUCUGGGAAACUGCCCGAUGGAGGGGGAUAACUACUGGAAACGGUAGCUAAUACCGCAUAACGUCGCAAGACCAAAGUGGGGGACCUUCGGGCCUCACACCAUCGGAUGUGCCCAGAUGGGAUUAGCUAGUAGGUGGGGUAAUGGCUCACCUAGGCGACGAUCCCUAGCUGGUCUGAGAGGAUGACCAGCCACACUGGAACUGAGACACGGUCCAGACUCCUACGGGAGGCAGCAGUGGGGAAUAUUGCACAAUGGGCGCAAGCCUGAUGCAGCCAUGCCGCGUGUAUGAAGAAGGCCUUCGGGUUGUAAAGUACUUUCAGCGGGGAGGAAGGCGGUGAGGUUAAUAACCUUGCCGAUUGACGUUACCCGCAGAAGAAGCACCGGCUAACUCCGUGCCAGCAGCCGCGGUAAUACGGAGGGUGCAAGCGUUAAUCGGAAUUACUGGGCGUAAAGCGCACGCAGGCGGUCUGUUAAGUCAGAUGUGAAAUCCCCGGGCUUAACCUGGGAACUGCAUUUGAAACUGGCAGGCUUGAGUCUCGUAGAGGGGGGUAGAAUUCCAGGUGUAGCGGUGAAAUGCGUAGAGAUCUGGAGGAAUACCGGUGGCGAAGGCGGCCCCCUGGACGAAGACUGACGCUCAGGUGCGAAAGCGUGGGGAGCAAACAGGAUUAGAUACCCUGGUAGUCCACGCCGUAAACGAUGUCGACUUGGAGGUUGUGCCCUUGAGGCGUGGCUUCCGGAGCUAACGCGUUAAGUCGACCGCCUGGGGAGUACGGCCGCAAGGUAAAACUCAAAUGAAUUGACGGGGGCCCGCACAAGCGGUGGAGCAUGUGGUUUAAUUCGAUGCAACGCGAAGAACCUUACCUGGCCUUGACAUCCAGAGACUUAGCAAAAAUGCUUUGGUGGCUUCGGGAACUCUGAAACAGUG
rnacentral:rRNA from 1 species